rnacentral:rRNA from 1 species
ACAAUGAAGAGUUUGAUCCUGGCUCAGGAUGAACGCUAGCUACAGGCUUAACACAUGCAAGUCGAGGGGCAGCAGGAUCUAGCAAUAGAUUGCUGGCGACCGGCGCACGGGUGAGUAACACGUAUCCAACCUGCCGAUAACUCGGGGAUAGCCUUUCGAAAGAAAGAUUAAUACCCGAUGGUAUAAUCAGACCGCAUGGUUUGAUUAUUAAAGAAUUUCGGUUAUCGAUGGGGAUGCGUUCCAUUAGGCAGUUGGUGAGGUAACGGCUCACCAAACCUUCGAUGGAUAGGGGUUCUGAGAGGAAGGUCCCCCCACAUUGGAACUGAGACACGGUCCAAACUCCUACGGGAGGCAGCAGUGAGGAAUAUUGGUCAAUGGACGAGAGUCUGAACCAGCCAAGUAGCGUGAAGGAUGACUGCCCUAUGGGUUGUAAACUUCUUUUAUAUGGGAAUAAAGUUUUCCACGUGUGGAAUUUUGUAUGUACCAUAUGAAUAAGGAUCGGCUAACUCCGUGCCAGCAGCCGCGGUAAUACGGAGGAUCCGAGCGUUAUCCGGAUUUAUUGGGUUUAAAGGGAGCGUAGGUGGACAGUUAAGUCAGUUGUGAAAGUUUGCGGCUCAACCGUAAAAUUGCAGUUGAUACUGGCUGUCUUGAGUACAGUAGAGGUGGGCGGAAUUCGUGGUGUAGCGGUGAAAUGCUUAGAUAUCACGAAGAACUCCGAUUGCGAAGGCAGCUCACUGGACUGCAACUGACACUGAUGCUCGAAAGUGUGGGUAUCAAACAGGAUUAGAUACCCUGGUAGUCCACACAGUAAACGAUGAAUACUCGCUGUUUGCGAUAUACAGUAAGCGGCCAAGCGAAAGCAUUAAGUAUUCCACCUGGGGAGUACGCCGGCAACGGUGAAACUCAAAGGAAUUGACGGGGGCCCGCACAAGCGGAGGAACAUGUGGUUUAAUUCGAUGAUACGCGAGGAACCUUACCCGGGCUUAAAUUGCAUUUGAAUAUAUUGGAAACAGUAUAGCCGUAAGGCAAAUGUGAAGGUGCUGCAUGGUUGUCGUCAGCUCGUGCCGUGAGGUGUCGGCUUAAGUGCCAUAACGAGCGCAACCCUUAUCUUUAGUUACUAACAGGUCAUGCUGAGGACUCUAGAGAGACUGCCGUCGUAAGAUGUGAGGAAGGUGGGGAUGACGUCAAAUCAGCACGGCCCUUACGUCCGGGGCUACACACGUGUUACAAUGGGGGGUACAGAAGGCAGCUACCUGGUGACAGGAUGCUAAUCCCAAAAGCCUCUCUCAGUUCGGAUCGAAGUCUGCAACCCGACUUCGUGAAGCUGGAUUCGCUAGUAAUCGCGCAUCAGCCAUGGCGCGGUGAAUACGUUCCCGGGCCUUGUACACACCGCCCGUCAAGCCAUGAAAGCCGGGGGUACCUGAAGUACGUAACCGCAAGGAGCGUCCUAGGGUAAAACUGGUAAUUGGGGCUAAGUCGUAACAAGGUAGCCGUACCGGAAGGUGCGGCUGGAACACCUCCUUU